UACGAAGGGGGCUAGCGUUGCUCGGAAUCACUGGGCGUAAAGGGUGCGUAGGCGGGUCUUUAAGUCAGGGGUGAAAUCCUGGAGCUCAACUCCAGAACUGCCUUUGAUACUGAAGAUCUUGAGUUCGGGAGAGGUGAGUGGAACUGCGAGUGUAGAGGUGAAAUUCGUAGAUAUUCGGAAGAACACCAGUGGCGAAGGCGGCUCACCGGCCCGGUACUGACGCUGAGGUGCGAAAGCGUGGGGAGCAAACAGG
rnacentral:rRNA from 1 species